GAUGAAGAACGUAGUGAAAUGCGAUAAGUAAUGUGAAUUGCAGAUUUCAGUGAAUCAUCGAAUCUUUGAACGCACAUUGCGCCCGCUAGUAUUCUGGCGGGCAUGCCUGUUCGAGCGUCAUUUCAACCAUCAAGCCCCCGGCUUGCGUUGGAGCCCUGCGGCUGCCGCAGGCUCCCAAAUCCAGUGGCGGGCUCGUCGUCGUACCGAGUGCAGUAAACAUCCUCGCUCAGGGAACGUGACGGGUUCUUGCCGUGAAACCCCCCACAUAUCAAGGUUGACCUCGGAUCAGGUAGGAAUACCCGCUGAACUUAAGCAUAUCAAUAAGCGGAGGA
rnacentral:misc_RNA from 1 species